CAGGGGUCUUGGCUGAAGCAGUCGGUGGCACCCAGGCCUGAGCAUCAUUUCCUGCUCCUCGCACAGAGAGGGUGGAUGCGUCACCAGUUGUAGGGUUUCCCUGUCAACUCUCGUGAAUGGUGCAGAGAAGACUCGGCUGGAGGUGGGGUGUUGGUUGACAUGAGGAUUUUACGAAGAGAAGAACUGCCAAUGGGGGUUUGACUGAGACCUAUUUGUAGGCCAUAGUUUAUUGCUGCUGCUUUCCUUCCCCUGGAACCGGAUUCUACUUCGACAUAGAGGCUAUACAUUUUGGACACGUAGGUGCAGGUGUUACAUUUAAGCCGUAACCUAGUGCCCAGGCCACGCCUCUCUUCAGAGUCCAAGUCCCAGGUUAGGUCACCAUCACAGCCUGGAUUGGCCCGCCCAUGUUCUUUGAACUCUGCGUUGAACAUGCCACAUGUCUUUUCCAGAUGCAGCAGUCUGUAGGAGUCAUUUUCACACCUGCCGAAAUCAGUUAUGUACCUGAUUACUUCCUAACCAGGCAAGUUCAUUUUCAGAAAUUAGAGUUACUUCCCUUUGACUAUACUUGUUCUCAAAGUUGAGUCAAGAGGCUCAUCACAGUCCCUAACAACUGUUUUUUGUAACUUUCUCUUCAUAUGAAUGAACAAUUAUUGUAAUGUUGCUAUAAUUUAGAGAGUUUAUUAAUUAUAAAAUUAAUUAAGCUAAUUAAAUUUACAGGAUCUUAGGGAUACCCCUUAUUUCAGCCAAUUUGGCCAUAUGUGGGCCUAUUCUGAGAAUUAGAAAAAAUAUUUUCGACUCAAAGAGGUUUUGUUUCAUAAUUUAAGAAAGUUAGAAGAAUUGUAAUCGUUACCCUGAGGAUUCAGCCUGAUUUAAAGUCUCAUGGUUUCCUUCCUUUUUCAGGGGUCUUGGCUGAAGCAGUCGGUGGCACCCAGGCCUGAGCAUCAUUUCCUACUCCUCGCACAGAGAGGGUGGAUGCGUCACCAGUUGUAGGGUUUCCCUGUCAACUCUCGUGAAUGGUGCAGGAAAAACACCAGAAUUGCCUAGCUACAGGGCGCCGCCAUUGUGGACACCCAAAGUUGUGCGGAGAAGAACAGUUGACAGGAGAUCUGAUUGGUCAUUAACAGAAAAUCUUUGUGAUGGAAUUUAAUAGUGAAAUAUAAGUGAUAAAAAUGACAGGUGACAUAACAGAAUAUGUAGAAAGAUACAGAAGUUAUAAGGGAAGAUCUGAGUGGAGAGGUGAUAUUUGUAUGGACAAUUUCAUUCAGUGCGGAUCUACACUAGUUGUAAACAGGCCAAAAUUUGAAGAAAAAACGCAACGGCAAGCCAUAUAUUUUUGGUGGAAUUUUGAAGGGGAGAUGAUGAACUUUGCUGAAUGGUGACUGAUUUUUUGAAAAUUGGCUUAAUAAAUAAUUGACAGUGAUUGGAAUUUGUAUGGAAGUCUAUGGGAAAACAUUUGGUGGUGUUUGUCCAGUGAAAGUUAUACUUUCGAUAUAUCGGUAAUAGUAUCAAUGCAUGUUCUAUAAAUUCUUUUCAUUUUGAUCUUAGUAAUUCUGUUGGUGUCGUUUAAAUAAAAACUUUCUAUAGCA